CCUACGGGAGGCAGCAGUGGGGAAUAUUGGACAAUGGGCGAAAGCCUGAUCCAGCAACGCCGCGUGAGGGAUGACGGCCUUCGGGUUGUAAACCUCUUUCAGUACCGACGAAGCGCCUUUAACGGUGGUGACGGUAGGUACAGAAGAAGGACCGGCCAACUACGUGCCAGCAGCCGCGGUAAUACGUAGGGUCCGAGCGUUGUCCGGAAUUAUUGGGCGUAAAGGGCUCGUAGGCGGUCUGUUGCGUCGGGAGUGAAAAUUCACAGCUUAACUGUGAACUUGCUUCCGAUACGGGCAGACUUGAGGUAUUCAGGGGAGAACGGAAUUCCUGGUGUAGCGGUGAAAUGCGCAGAUAUCAGGAGGAACACCGGUGGCGAAGGCGGUUCUCUGGGAAUAUCCUGGCGCUGAGGAGCGAAAGUGUGGGGAGCGAACAGGAUUAGAUACCCUGGUAGUCCACACCGUAAACGUUGGGCGCUAGGUGUGGGGUCCCACUCACGAGUCGUGCGCNGCUACGCAUAGCGCCCGCCGUCGGGUAGGUACGGCCGGCGACGGACGUAAACCUAACAACUAGAAUUAGACGGCGUGAGACGUGCCGACGGACGACGACGAGGGAGGUAGG
rnacentral:rRNA from 1 species